UACAGAGGUCUCAAGCGUUGUUCGGAUUCAUUGGGCGUAAAGGGUGCGUAGGCGGCGCGGUAAGUCGGGUGUGAAAUCUCGGAGCUUAACUCCGAAACUGCAUUCGAUACUGCCGUGCUUGAGGACUGGAGAGGAGACUGGAAUUUACGGUGUAGCGGUGAAAUGCGUAGAUAUCGUAAGGAAGACCAGCGGCGAAGGCGGGUCUCUGGACAGUUCCUGACGCUAAGGCACGAAGGUCAGGGGAGCAAACGGG
rnacentral:rRNA from 1 species